AUACGUAGGUGGCAAGCGUUAUCCGGAAUUAUUGGGCGUAAAGGGUGCGUCAGUCGGCUAAUUAAGUUUGUGGUGAAAGUGCGGGGCUUAACUCCGUAUAGCCAUGAAAACUGGUAAGCUAGAGUGCAGAAGAGGGUAGUGGAAUUCCAUGUGUAGCGGUAAAAUGCGUAGAUAUAUGGAGGAACACCAGUGGCGAAGGCGGCUACCUGGUCUGUAGCUGACGAUGAGGCACGAAAGCGUGGGGAGC
rnacentral:rRNA from 1 species